rnacentral:lncRNA from 1 species
AUACGGUGAUAUGGAGAGACACAGAGGAGACUGCUGACAAAGGAAUUGUUGAAUAAAGUCGUUAUUUUUGUUUUCUUCGCUUACAAAAAGUGUUCCCGUCGCUUUAUAUAACCCAGAUUGCACAGCUGAUGGCAGAUGGAGUAUUCUGACGACUCAGUCACAGGCUUCCCGGCCUCAUCCAAAAUAUCUAGAAUGUCUUCCGAAGACGAACAAAGCUUUUACAGGUUUGGAACGACAUGGGGGAUGCCAAGAGUAUUGGUACUCGUUCUGCCCAACUACAAGAGCGUGCCAGGGCAGGAAACAGUCCAGCACCACCUCCUCUCCUUCAUCUGCCUCAAGAUGAUGCUCUGAUAGGAACACCGCAUGAGAGAACGAAUACAAAGAAGAUAGAAGGACAAAAGAGAAGUGUGCUGUGUUAAUAUAGUCAGAUAAAAUCAUCUCGGUGUGUGUAUCCGUAGGCGUUUGUCUGUCUCACCUCCACAGUCUAGUGGUGGCAUGGCUGACUGACACAUAAAGAGCCCAUACUGGCAGGAAGUGCAGUUCAUCACUCUCUGAUACAACAGCCCUGUAGCAAACAAGCAUCCGUAUGCACCCACACACCCAAUGAGCGAUAAAUAUAUCAUACUUUACACACUCAGUGUCCUGUAACACAUACACCAUUUCACAUUUCAUUUAUUACAUGUGUUACUUGCUUGUUUCACUGUAAUUAUCUGUGAAAUUUACUGAGUGUAAAAUUUUUCCUACACCUUUGUUUUUUCUGGUGUACUAACAAAGAAUAAGUGUGUACAAAAUUUGGACUUCUUGUGUAAAGAUAUUUAGAAUAACAUUAUAAAGAAAUAUAGAGGAAUCUCAAAUCUGUACUUACCACAUUUAUUUGGACACAGAC